rnacentral:rRNA from 1 species
UACGUAGGGUGCGAGCGUUGUCCGGAAUUAUUGGGCGUAAAGAGCUUGUAGGCGGUCUGUCGCGUCUGCUGUGAAAAUCCGGGGCUCAACCCCGGACUUGCAGUGGGUACGGGCAGACUAGAGUGUGGUAGGGGAGACUGGAAUUCCUGGUGUAGCGGUGAAAUGCGCAGAUAUCAGGAGGAACACCCGUAGCGAAGGCGGCACUCUGGGCCGAUACUGACACUGAGGAGCGAAAGCGUGGGGAGCGAACAGG